rnacentral:rRNA from 2 species
CACCGGCAGCUCAAGUGGUAGCCGCUUUUAUUGGGCCUAAAGCGUCCGUAGCCGGUCUGAUAAGUCUCUGGUGAAAUCCCACAGCUUAACUGUGGGAAUUGCUGGAGAUACUAUCAUGACUCGAGGUCGGGAGAGGCUGGAGGUACUCCCAGGGUAGGGGUGAAAUCCUGUAAUCCUGGGAGGACCACCUGUGGCGAAGGCGUCCAGCUGGAACGAACCUGACGGUGAGGGACGAAAGCCAGGGGCGCGA